rnacentral:lncRNA from 10 species
CAUCCUGAGAAGGGACUAGGCCAAACAAAAUCCUGCAGCAACAGAGAACACCCAUUCUCCAGUGGUCUGCAAACCAGUUUUGGAACAGGAGGGCAGCUCUUUCAGUUGAAGAAACCUCCAAGUGGAAACAAAAGAAGAAAAAUGAUACCAGGGCAGUGCUUCUGAACCACUAUAGAAAGAUUCUGCGCUCCCUCUUCCUCUCAGCUGUGAACCCUCAUUCAAAC